AGUGAACGCUGGCGGUAGGCCUAACACAUGCAAGUCGAACGGCAGCACAGUAAGAGCUUGCUCUUACGGGUGGCGAGUGGCGGACGGGUGAGGAAUACAUCGGAAUCUACUUUUUCGUGGGGGAUAACGUAGGGAAACUUACGCUAAUACCGCAUACGACCUACGGGUGAAAGCAGGAGAUCUUCGGACCUUGCGCGAUUGAAUGAGCCGAUGUCGGAUUAGCUAGUUGGCGGGGUAAAGGCCCACCAAGGCGACGAUCCGUAGCUGGUCUGAGAGGAUGAUCAGCCACACUGGAACUGAGACACGGUCCAGACUCCUACGGGAGGCAGCAGUGGGGAAUAUUGGACAAUGGGCGCAAGCCUGAUCCAGCCAUACCGCGUGGGUGAAGAGGGCCUUCGGGUUGUAAAGCCCUUUUGUUGGGAAAGAAAAGCAGCAGGUUAAUACCCCGCUGUUCUGACGGUACCCAAAGAAUAAGCACCGGCUAACUUCGU
rnacentral:rRNA from 1 species